GUGGGGAAUAUUGGGCAAUGGGGGCAACCCUGACCCAGCAACGCCGCGUGAGGGAAGAAGGUUUUCGGAUUGUAAACCUCUGUCCUAUGGGAAGAAGGAAGUGACGGUACCAUAGGAGGAAGCCCCGGCUAACUACGUGCCAGCAGCCGCGGUAAUACGUAGGGGGCGAGCGUUGUCCGGAAUUACUGGGCGUAAAGGGUGCGCAGGUGGCCUGACAAGUCAGAUGUGAAAUACCGAUGCUUAACGUCGGGGAUGCAUUUGAAACUAUGAGGCUGGAGUGCAGGAGAGGGAAGCGGAAUGCCUAGUGUAGCGGUGAAAUGCAUAGAUAUUAGGAGGAACACCAGUGGCGAAGGCGGCUUUCUGGACUGUAACUGACACUGAGGCACGAAAGCGUGGGGAGCAAACAGGAUUAGAAACCCCAGUAGUCC
rnacentral:rRNA from 1 species